CUGGCUGAUUGGACAAUGUUUAUUAAAUGAUUACUUGCUGGAUGCGGAUCCAGAUGUUCGACAAAAUCUCAGGGAAGCGGAAAGGACUGCGAUGGCUUGCUAUUACCGCCAGCACGCGGACACCACGGUGACGGUUCCAAAGUUUACCAACGAGAGUUCCAGCGGCGGAGUGACCUACUACGACAUCAAGGUGCGAGUGGGCAAGGUGGAAUGGCUGGUGGAGCGCCGCUAUCGGGACUUUGCAAGUCUUCACGAGAAGCUGGUUGGGGAGAUCUCCAUCAGUAAGAAGUUGCUGCCGCCGAAAAAGCUGGUUGGAAAUAAGCAGCCCUCCUUUUUGGAGCAACGUCGAGAACAGUUGGAAACUUAUCUUCAGGAGCUUCUCAUCUACUUCCGGACAGAACUGCCGCGGGCUCUGGCCGAGUUUCUGGACUUUAACAAGUACGACAUUAUUUAUCUGCUACAAGAUCUUGCCAAGCUGUUCAACGAAAGCGGGGAUGCUCUGCUCAGCUCCAAGAAGGAAUACAACCUUUCAGCCCUAGAGGUCUACGCUAUUAGUGAGCGUCUUAGUCUUCCCUGCCCACCAAGCUUGGAUCGCGGUGGAAAGUACGACUUCUCGCACGUGCUGGACUUUUGCACACAACUUGUCGCUUUGGUGGUCACCCCGGUCAAGGACAAUGCUAGCUAUGCCCAGGAUUACAAUACGGUUGAUGUGCCAAUCGAUCGCAGCAAUAUCAUUCCGAACAGACUAAGUUUUAAUCUAAAUGCCUUUCGCAAUCUCAAGACGCUCAAAUUUUCGGCCUUGUCUACCGAAAACAUUGUGGACAUCGAACUUCUGAAGCCGACUCUCCAGACAAUCUGUGUUCAUAACACAACCAUACAAAACAUAAACCAAGUCCUGCUUUGCGACAAUCUGCACAAGCACUGCGAUGUGCCAAGCCUUCUGCCAGAGACUAUCCUUGCUUCCCCCUCCGGCUCCGGUCCCUCCACUUCUAAUGGUAGUGCCUUGGUUAGUGCGGAUGCGUGGCAAGAGAUAACAGAACUAGACCUGACAGGCAAUUUGCUAACCCAAAUCGAUGGCAGUGUACGAACAGCUCCAAAACUCCGAUCCCUAAUCCUUGACCAGAAUCGAAUACGGACCGUCCAAAAUCUGGCCGAACUUCCUCAACUCCAGUUGCUUUCGCUAUCUGGGAAUCUUAUAGCAGAGUGUGUGGAUUGGCAUUUGACGAUGGGAAACCUAGUCACUCUGAAGCUAGCUCAGAACAAAAUCAAGACACUGAGUGGUCUGCGAAAACUACUUUCACUGGUUAACCUGGACCUUAGUUCCAAUCAGAUCGAGGAGCUUGAUGAAGUCAAUCAUGUCGCCAAUCUUCCGCUUCUAGAGACCCUUCGACUAACUGGAAAUCCGCUGGCGGGCAGUGUGGACUAUCGCUCUCGCGUCCUUGCUCGAUUUCACGAACGUGCUGCUGAAAUAUCUUUGGACAACGAACCUGGUAAUCAGCAGGAGCUAGAUACUGCUUUGGUUUUGUCCGCCCUUCUGCAAUCGAAGCAACGUCAGCAACAAAAGUGAUCCCUUUCACAGAAAGUUUAUCGAUUCCAUAUAUAGACAAAUCUCCGCAAGAAAUUUUAAAUCUUAUGGUUUUUAUAAGUUGUGGACUUUAAACAGUUUAAUGAUUUCUUUCAAGGAUAUUUCCCAAGUUAGACGUAAUUUUAAUUUAUUUAAAGUGAUUUGUAAAUUUCAAUGUUUGUAAAAUUCCAUGUAUUCAGACAAACUCUAAA
rnacentral:misc_RNA from 1 species